rnacentral:tRNA from 1 species
GGGGAUUUAGCUCAGUGGUUCAAGCACUUGCCUGGUAAGCGAGAGAGCAUGAUUUCGAUCCCCA